rnacentral:rRNA from 1 species
AUGGAACGCUUCCGGUUCAGGGCACCUCCCCUCUCGCUCAAGCUAGCCUUCGCCGCCGUCUCCCUCGGCGUCUCCUUCGCCGCCGUCUCCUCCUCACCCUCUCCCCUCCCUUCCUCGGCCGCCUCCUCCUCUCCGCGGACCGUAGCCGCCGACCUCCUCGCCGUCCUCGCCGGCCCGCGCGCCGCGGCGCGGGUGCCGGCCCGGGAGGCCUCGCGCCUGAGCUCCUGCCUCCGGUUCCUCUCCCCGGCCAACCCCGCCGCCGUGUCUAGCGCGUAUCCCCGGAGGGGCUCCCGGAAGGUUCUCCUGGAAGGCUGCGAUGCGGCCGAGGCGGACGCGAUGGUGAUGUGGCCGCCGGCGCCGGUCUUGGAGCUGGCGCUCCUCGCCGUCGACUCCGGAGGCGACCCUGGGGCCAUCCACCGCUUGCUCGACCCCACCAUGCUGCCGGUGCCUGAUAUUGAGGGAACGAAGAAGAGCAAAUGCCACCUCACAAGAACACCGUAUGGAAGACGCUUUGCUGAUGAGGACAUCAAUUCAUACUUUGCAUUUCUGUUUGAAUUGAUUGCUGCGCGAGGACCAUCAGUUGGAUUAAAUGUUUCACUGACUCGUUAUGAUUUAUUCCACGGGCAUCUUUUCCUGGCAUCUGGUACAGGAAGGCUUGGGAUUCUGUUCCACGCCAAAGAAUAUCCAGCAUUCGACAAGAAAUUGUUCCCUUACAAUUUGGGAUAUUGCCAGGCUGAAUCUGAUGUACCCUAUGAUGAUUCCAUGAAUUUACGUAAUAUCCUUUGGUUAGCUCCAUUGCCAUCCAGUGAUAAUAAAGUUUGGUUAGCACCAGGGGUGCUAGUCGUCUUGGAUGCACAUCCAGAUGGAAUUAUUUAUCAAGAUAUGAUACGUGACUAUGUUCAGAUCGUACGAACAAUAUACGAAGAUGAUUUCGGAGAGCUUGCGGUCGAUGUCAACUAUCUGAAUGCAGCCAACACAGCUCCAGCGGAUAGGAUUUUCAUUUGCUGA